rnacentral:rRNA from 1 species
GGGCGUAAAGGGUCUGUAGGUGGUUUGUUAAGUCAGAUGUGAAAGCCCAGGGCUCAACCUUGGAACUGCAUUUGAUACUGGCAAACUAGAGUAUGGUAGAGGAAUGGGGAAUUUCUGGUGUAGCGGUGAAAUGCGUAGAGAUCAGAAGGAACACCAAUGGCGAAGGCAACAUUCUGGACCAAUACUGACACUGAGGGACGAAAGCGUGGGGAUCAAACAGGAUUAGAUACCCUGGUAGUCCACGCUGUAAACGAUGAGUACUAGCUGUUGGAUUCGGUGUAAAGGAUCUAGUGGCGUAGCUAACGCGUUAAGUACUCCGCCUGGGGACUACGGCCGCAAGGCUAAAACUCAAAGGAAUUGACGGGGACCCGCACAAGCGGUGGAGCAUGUGGUUUAAUUCGAUGCAACGCGAAGAACCUUACCUGGUCUUGACAUCCUGCGAACUUUCUAGAGAUAGAUUGGUGCCUUCGGGAACGCAGUGACAGGUGCUGCACGGCUGUCGUCAGCUCGUGUUGUGAAAUGUUGGGUUAAGUCCCGCAACGAGCGCAACCCCUAUUGAUAGUUACCAUCAUUAAGUUGGGUACUCUAUUGAGACUGCCGCUGACAAGGCGGAGGAAGGUGGGGACGACGUCAAGUCAUCAUGGCCCUUACGACCAGGGCUACACACGUGCUACAAUGGGUAUUACAGAGGGCAGCGAAGUAGCGAUAUGGAGCGAAACUCAGAAAGGUACUCUUAGUCCGGAUUGCAGUCUGCAACUCGACUGCAUGAAGUCGGAAUCGCUAGUAAUCGCAGGUCAGAAUACUGCGGUGAAUACGUUCCCGGGUCUUGUACACACCGCCCGUCACACCAUGGGAGUGGGUUGCUCCGAGAAGUAGAUAGCUUAACGAAUGGGCGUU